AGCUCCAAUAGCGUAUAUUUUAGUUGUUGCAGUUAAAAAGCUCGUAGUAGAAUUUCUGGUGGGGGAAUGCAGUUCAAGCUAUGCUUGAUACUCGCACUCUCCGGCCAUCUUUGAGUGGAGCCUGUCUGGCAUUAAGUUGUCGGGCUGGGGAUGCUCAUCGUUUACUGUGAAAAAAUUAGAGUGUUCAAAGCAGACUUAUGUCGUUGAAUAUAUUAGCAUGGGAUAAUAAGAUAAGACUGCGGUACUAUUUUGGUGGUUAGGUGCCGUUGUAAUGAUGAACAGGGACAGUUGUGGGUAUUCGUAUUCACUUGUAAGAGGUGAAAUUCUUAGAUUAAGGGAAGACGAACUACUGCGAAAGCAUUUACCAAGGAUGUUUUCA
rnacentral:rRNA from 1 species